UGGGUUUGAGCGGACCACAAGGGCAACUCAGCGCCACUUUCGUCAAUAAAAAAGACCGCACCGUGGUGAGGCGCCUGACGCUGCCUCUCGCUGCAGACUCAGUGGCGGGAGACCGUAGUGUUGUGUGAGAGCGGUGGUGAGCGGCGCGUGUGUAGUGUGCGGUGCCCUCGAGGCCCGCUGACUCGUGUGUGUCGUGACCUUGUGUGUGGCGGUGCCCUGACUCUGGGCAGCCCUUAGCCCCGACCCUUCGUGCACACAGGCGGACUGGCGGAUACUGAGCGGGCUAGUGCGUCCACGCCACCUCUGCCUGUCCCUCCCCUGGACUCCUAGGCAAAGGCGGCGGGGCACCAGCCGACCCCCAGGAGUGGCCCGUUGCGUCAUGCCCACAUACCCCCGCCUGCCCACGACCUCCCAGGGUGUGGGAUGCUGUGUGUAAUGGAGGGGGCCGGGGAUGGACAGGGAGAUGCCACCACAGAGUUCAUCGCUACGGGUCGGACAGGUCGCCGCAACGCUAUGCCCGACAUCCUCUCCGAGCACGCCGCCACCACCACGGCUGACCUGCCCGAGGCCCUGGAAAAGCUCUCCUGCUCAGACGCUGGCGGUGAAGGCGGCGCCGUGGGCGGGGGAGCGACGGGCGGCAGCAGUGACGGCGCCAGCACGAGCCAGGCCCAGUCCUCGGGCUCCUAAUGGCCCUCCACCACCACCACCACCCCUUGACUUCCAGCGGGACCCCCACCUCCUCCUCCUCCUCUAACCCCGCCCCGCCCCGCCCCGCCGCGCCCAGGGUAAACUUGCACAGACACGAGGGACACACGGGCGGUGCACCUCUUGGCAUUACAAUUAAAGGAUAGUAAGAGUAACCGUGGUGUUUCAUUGUUCACCUUCCCCUGCAGUGUGUGUGUGUGUGUGUGUGUGUGUGUGUGUGUUCUGAAAUAUCUUUUUGAGUAAUAUGAGUAUAAUACAGAUUGAUGGGACAUUCCCUACUGUAGUUUUUUUUUGUAUGUUUGUUUAUCAAGUUAUGUUCGAAUAAUAUAUAUCAUUAUACAUGGGGAAGAUAUGUAAUAAGGUUAUAAAUAUAUAACGAAACCUCUACGUGACUUCAGUUUAGUGUUUCCUCCCGAGCAGGGCCCGGGGGCUAUUUGUUCUCACCGCCCACCUUAGUUUUAUAAUUGUUGCUCUCCGUUCACCCCGCACUGACGACGAAUAUAAUUAAAUGACAGGUAAGACAGCUGGCUCUACACCUAUCCCACACUAAACAGUGACAGUUAUAGCUACAAGAUGAUUAGUAUAUGUUUGUUACAGAAAUGUAGUCAGUACUGACUGAAGAAAUAAAUUAAUUAAGCUUCUGUUUACAGUGUAAAUCAGUGGGACCGAAAAUAUUUAUUUAUUGGUUUAGACUGUUAGCAGAGACCUCAGUUACACCCUGGAAUGUCCAUGUUAUCCUUUGGGGGUAACGACCAUCAGCUGAGGACAUGUACCAUGGAGUGUAUGUAACAAUUACAUAAUACAUAAUACUCUUGUCUCUUUUGUUUUAUUGAAUAUUCUGUGGUGUGUGCAAAUGGUCUGCAGUCGCAAAAAAUGGGCAAGCUAAUAUAUUAUAGUCAUGACUUCUGUGAAGCUGUUUCAGGCCACAACACGCCACUCUCGAGCAUUUCCACAAGCAGGGGGUGGGCGGUCCAUGACUCCUGUGGGGUUCCUGCCAGCAGUCAGCGCCGCGGAGGAACGCCAGCCAAGGGGAAGAGGUCAUAGAAUUCAAAGGCUGCACAACUGUAACGAGAUAAUGAAGUAACGAGUGAAAGUGGAGAGGAAGGGAGUAACCACCACCACGCAGCCACCCCACACGCCCGCCCCCUCGCACCGGCUCUCCACUUGUGGCUUUAAUACUUCACAGGACUUGUGGGCAGCCAGAAAAUGAGGCAGCAGCCAACCAGCUCCUUGGAAGAAACCAUCAUGAGAUCUGUGCAGGGCCCCUUCCUCCCUCAGGGCCUGUCACCAGCUGCUGUGGCCUGAAAAAGAGGGAGGAGCACAGCAAACCUGGACACAGCGACCCAUCCUGGAGACUAGCAGUUUAGCUGGUUUUCUAACAGGGCAAGUGUAAGAGCAGAGACUCUCCCCACUAAGAUUUAUGUUUUUAGUUUUUUUUUUUUUUAUAAUGCAUAAACUCUGCUUCAGCUCUGUGGGACAAUUUUAAUGUUUAUUAAAGCUACUGAACACUGCUA